rnacentral:rRNA from 1 species
UGAGUUUGAUCCUGGCUCAGAACGAACGCUGGCGGCGUGCUUAACACAUGCAAGUCGAACGCGAAAGGGACUUCGGUCCCGAGUAGAGUGGCGCACGGGUGAGUAACGCGUAAGUAAUCUACCCCUGUAUCUGGAAUAACCCACCGAAAGGUGAGCUAAUACCGGAUACGUUUAUCUUGAUGCGAAUGAUGAUAAAGAAAGGUGGCCUCUUCAUGAAAGCUACCGUACAGGGACGAGCUUGCGUACCAUUAGCUGGUUGGUAGGGUAAUGGCCUACCAAGGCGACGAUGGUUAGCGGGUCUGAGAGGAUGAUCCGCCACACUGGAACUGAAACACGGACCAGACUCCUACGGGAGGCAGCAGUGAGGAAUAUUGCGCAAUGGGGGCAACCCUGACGCAGCGACGCCGCGUGGACGAUGAAGGCCCUUGGGUCGUAAAAUCCUGUCAGAUGGAAAGAAAUGUACAGGUGUUAAUAUCGCCUGUAUUUGACGGUACCAUCAAAGGAAGCACCGGCUAACUCCGUGCCAGCAGCCGCGGUAAUACGGA